rnacentral:rRNA from 1 species
GUAACGCGUGGGAACGUGCCCUUUUCUACGGAAUAGCCUUUGGAAACGAAGAGUAAUACCGUAUACGCCCUUUGGGGGAAAGAUUUAUCGGAGAAGGAUCGGCCCGCGUUAGAUUAGAUAGUUGGUGGGGUAACGGCCUACCAAGUCUACGAUCUAUAGCUGGUUUUAGAGGAUGAUCAGCAACACUGGGACUGAGACACGGCCCAGACUCCUACGGGAGGCAGCAGUGGGGAAUCUUAGACAAUGGGCGCAAGCCUGAUCUAGCCAUGCCGCGUGAGUGAUGAAGGCCUUAGGGUCGUAAAGCUCUUUCGCCUGUGAUGAUAAUGACAGUAGCAGGUAAAGAAACCCCGGCUAACUCCGUGCCAGCAGCCGCGGUAAUACGGAGGGGGUUAGCGUUGUUCGGAAUUACUGGGCGUAAAGCGCACGUAGGCGGAUUGGAAAGUUGGGGGUGAAAUCCCGGGGCUCAACCCCGGAACUGCCUCCAAAACUAUCAGUCUAGAGUUCGAGAGAGGUGAGUGGAAUUCCAAGUGUAGAGGUGAAAUUCGUAGAUAUUUGGAGGAACACCAGUGGCGAAGGCGGCUCACUGGCUCGAUACUGACGCUGAGGUGCGAAAGUGUGGGGAGCAAACAGGAUUAGAUACCCUGGUAGUCCACACCGUAAACGAUGAAUGCCAGUCGUCGGGCAGUAUACUGUUCGGUGACACACCUAACGGAUUAAGC